rnacentral:rRNA from 1 species
AUGCAGUCGCACGGACUGUUUUUGCAGUUAGUGGCGGACGGGUGAGUAACACGUAGGUGACCUACCCCAAAGUCUGGGACAACUAGGAGAAAUCUUAGCUAAUCCCGGAUGUGAACCUCGGUUUUGACCGAUGUUUAAAGCUUCGGCGCUUUGGGAUGGGCCUGCGGCGCAUCAGGUAGUUGGUGGGGUAAUGGCCUACCAAGCCGACGACGCGUAGCUGGUCUGAGAGGACGAUCAGCCACAGGGGUACUGAGACACGGACCCCACUCCUACGGGAGGCAGCAGUUAGGAAUCUUCCGCAAUGGGCGAAAGCCUGACGGAGCGAUACCGCUUGAAGGACGAAGCCCUUCGGGGUGUAAACUUCUGAACUCGGGACGAUAAUGACGGUACCGAGGUAAUAGCACCGGCUAACUCCGUGCCAGCAGCCGCGGUAAUACGGAGGGUGCGAGCGUUACCCGGAUUUACUGGGUGUAAAGGGCGUGUAGGCGGUCUUUCAAGUCCGAUGCUAAAGACCGAAGCUCAACUUCGGGGGUGCGUUGGAUACUGUGAGGCUAGACGGUCGGAGAGGGUAGCGGAAUUUCCGGAGUAGCGGUGAAAUGCGCAGAUACCGGAAGGAACGCCGAUAGCGAAAGCAGCUACCUGGACGAUUUGUGACGCUGAGGCGCGAAAGCGUGGGGAGCAAACCGGAUUAGAUACCCGGGUAGUCCACGCCCUAAACGAUGAGUGCUGGGUGUCCGACAUCUGUUGGGUGCCGUAGCUAACGCGUUAAGCACUCCACCUGGGAAGUACG